rnacentral:rRNA from 1 species
AACGAACGCUGGCGGCGUGCCUAAGACAUGCAAGUCGUACGGAAAGGCCCCCUUCGGGGGGCACUCGAGUGGCGCACGGGUGAGUAACGCGUGGGUAAUCUGCCUUAGGGUCUAGGACAACCCCGGGAAACUGGGGCUAAUACUGGAUAAGACCACGAGCUCUUCGGAGCUUGCGGAAAAAGAUGGCCUCUCCUUGGAAGCUAUCGCCCUUCGAUGAGCCCGCGUCCCAUUAGCUAGUUGGUGAGGUGACGGCUCACCAAGGCUUUGAUGGGUAGCUGGUCUGAGAGGAUGAUCAGCCACACUGGAACUGAGACACGGUCCAGACUCCUACGGGAGGCAGCAGUCGGGAAUUUGGGCAAUGGGCGAAAGCCUGACCCAGCAACGCCGCGUGAGGGAUGAAGGCCCUCGGGUCGUAAACCUCUGUCGGGAGGGAAGAACGGUUGCCGUUCGAACAGGACGGGAGCCUGACGGUACCUCCAAAGGAAGCACCGGCUAACUCCGUGCCAGCAGCCGCGGUAAUAC